UAUACGACCGUACCGCAAACCGACACUGGUGCGCGAGAUGAGUAUUCUAAGGCGCUUGAGAGAACUCAGGAGAAGGAACUCGGCAAAUUGACACCGUAACUUCGGAAGAAGGUGUGCCCUAUUAGUGUGUAGUGAACAACGAAGCAUGAAUGGGUUGCAAAAAAUCGGUGGCUGCGACUGUUUAUUAAAAACACAGCACUCUGCAAACACGAAAGUGGACGUAUAGGGUGUGACGCCUGCCCGGUGCUGGAAGAUUAAAUGAUGGGGUGCAAGCUCUUGAUUGAAGUCCCAGUAAACGGCGGCCGUAACGAUAACGGUCCUAAGGUAGCGAAAUUCCUUGUCGGGUAAGUUCCGACCUGCACGAAUGGCGUAACGAUGGCCACACUGUCUCCUCCUGAGACUCAGCGAAGUUGAAAUGUUUGUGAUGAUGCAAUCUCCCCGCGGAAAGACGGAAAGACCCCAUGAACCUUUACUGUAGCUUUGUAUUGGACUUUGAACAGAUCUGUGUAGGAUAGGUGGGAGGCUUUGAAGCAGGGUCGCUAGAUCUUGUGGAGCCAACGUUGAAAUACCACCCUGGUGUGUUUGAGGUUCUAACCUAGGUCCAUUAUCUGGAUCGGGGACAGUGCAUGGUAGGCAGUUUGACUGGGGCGGUCUCCUCCCAAAGCGUAACGGAGGAGUUCGAAGGUACGCUAGUUACGGUCGGACAUCGUGACGAUAGUGCAAUGGCAUAAGCGUGCUUAACUGCGAGACUGACAAGUCGAGCAGAUGCGAAAGCAGGACAUAGUGAUCCGGUGGUUCUGUAUGGAAGGGCCAUCGCUCAACGGAUAAAAGGUACUCUGGGGAUAACAGGCUGAUACCGCCCAAGAGUUCAUAUCGACGGCGGUGUUUGGCACCUCGAUGUCGGCUCAUCUCAUCCUGGGGCUGUAGCCGGUCCCAAGGGUAUGGCUGUUCGCCAUUUAAAGAGGUACGUGAGCUGGGUUUAAAACGUCGUGAGACAGUUUGGUCCCUAUCUUCCGUGGGCGCUGCAGAUUUGAGGAAGCCUGCUCCUAGUACGAGAGGACCGGAGUGGACACACCUCUGGUGUAUCGGUUGUCACGCCAGUGGCAUUGCCGAGUAGCUAAGUGUGGAAGAGAUAACCGCUGAAAGCAUCUAAGCGGGAAACUCGUUUCAAGAUGAGAUCUGCCGGGGCCUUGAGCCCCCUAAAGAGUCGUUCAAGACCAGGACGUUGAUAGGUCAGGUGUGGAAGCGG
rnacentral:rRNA from 1 species